GACGAACGCUGGCGGCGUGCCUAAUACAUGCAAGUAGAACGCUGAAGAGAGGAGCUUGCUCUUCUUGGAUGAGUUGCGAACGGGUGAGUAACGCGUAGGUAACCUGCCUUGUAGCGGGGGAUAACUAUUGGAAACGAUAGCUAAUACCGCAUAACAAUGGAUGACCCAUGUCAUUUAUUUGAAAGGGGCAAAUGCUCCACUACAAGAUGGACCUGCGUUGUAUUAGCUAGUAGGUGAGGUAACGGCUCACCUAGGCGACGUUACAUAGCCGACCUGAGAGGGUGAUCGGCCACACUGGGACUGAGACACGGCCCAGACGCCUACGGGAGGCAGCAGUAGGGAAUCUUCGGCAAUGGGGGCAACCCUGACCGAGCUACGCCGCGUGAGUGAAGAGGGUUGUCGGAUCGUAAAGCUCUGUUGUAAGUCAAGAACGAGUGUGAGAGUGGAAAGUUCACACUGUGACGGUAGCUUACCAGAAAGGAACGGCUAACUACGUG
rnacentral:rRNA from 1 species